UGAGGAACAUGACCUUCGGCGGGGGAGUAGCCGGCCCAACGGCCGGGUAAUACCGCGUACGACCACAUGGGGACGAUCCCUGAGUGGUGAAAGCAGCAAUGCGCCGAUGGAGUGCCUCGCGGCCUAUCAGUUAGUUGGUGAGGUAACGGCUCACCAAGGCAACGACGGGUAGCUGGUCUGAGAGGAUGGCCAGCCACAUUGGGACUGAGACACGGCCCAGACUCCUACGGGAGGCAG
rnacentral:rRNA from 1 species